UAGAUGCACAAUCUCUCCUCUGGAAGGCACAGCUGUGAGAAAUCUUUGGCUUUUUGGUUUAGAGGCGGCCUGUGAAAACGUCGUGUCUAUUUUACGUACAUUUUCCUCCUGCAAACCCUCUGCUGUUCAAAUCAAACAUUCCCUGAAGUGUGGUAGAAGGCAGGAAGAGCGACACUUGCUAAUUUGAAUUUCAGAAAGCACCUAAACCACAUUCUGAUCUCCAGCUUUGCUCCCUCUGAGGCCUCUGUUUCUCAAGCAGUACAGUCCUUUGACAAGAUACCGUGAGAGUUGAAAGGUGUGUGCCCACAAAAAUGAAAGCUAUUUCUAACAUUUCAGGAGGUAUACGUCUCCUUAUGAAAAGGAAAUCGAAGACAAAAGGAAAGUGAUCAAAUAAUGUAUGGAACAUUUAAGCCUAUUGCUUAAAUGAAUACAUAUUGAAAAUGAACUCACUGAAUGUUUAAGAUUGGAGCUCCAUUUUGGAAAAAGGCUUGAGAAUUAGAAGUUUGGCUUCAUUCUGAAUUAAAAAGAAAAUGUUGAUUUUUUUAACUGAGUAGAAUUUCCCAUUAAAAUGUUUCUGCUUGAAAAAGUUCACUUUAAUGCUGCUUUAUGGACUAAAGGAGAUCAGAUAGCUGCCGUAGAGUAGUGCCUGUUUUUCUCCAUUAGCUAUAGAGUGCAAGAUGAGAAUGACCCUGCAGAUUCAGACACCUAAACUUAGGUGCAUGUGUGUGUUCAUGUGUAAGCUGGGUUUCUAAACUUCUGUUGAGACGAUGCAAUUUUAAUCUGAUGCACACAGAGAUUUGGAGCUGGUUAGUCUCACCACAAGGCAGAUGCCUACGUGCUGGCAGCUGAACUGCCCUCAACUGUCUACUGACUGCACAGGCUUGACACAUGAGACUAACAUCUCAUAAUGGGUUAAAAAAAAAAAAAAGAUGUUUUGCCUGACUUCCAGGUGCUUCUCCAAAAAUGAGGCUUUUCUCCCCAAGGUCUUUGUCAAAUCUGCCAUGCCUGUCUGGAAGUCUUAGGGUAACCUAUGCCAUCUCAAACAGAAUUAGAUGCCUAUUUUUCAGUAUCAAAUCCCACUUGAGAGCACCCACCCCUCCUCAGACUGUCACGAUGGCUUAGGUGCACAACUACCCCACCUGCCCCUAAAUGUAGGUCUCUGAAUCUGCAAGUUGAAUCUGACCAUAGGAGUGCAAUUUAGUUCGCUAAACACAAGCAUCAAGUGCUGUUUCAGAUGCUGUAGGGUAUCUGGGACAUCCACAUGAGGCAGACUGAUAUUGUAAAGCAUCUCUGGAAGAACCAUACUUUCUGGACUGUUCAUGUCAGGCUGAAUGGGACACUCUACAAGCUAGAUGUAUAUACAUUAUAGACAUUGAAAGCCAGGUGACAUGGAUCUCACCUUGAUGAAAAUCUUGUAAUAAAACAAUUAAGUGUACAUGCAAUGUUUUGAAAAUUGUUGUUGACAAAAACAUUUUGAAGAAGCCAGCUGUCUUUCAGGCUUAAGAGAUACUGUGUCUUGAUAGUGUUUGCAUAAGUAGCUUAACAGAAUAAUUCAUUUUUCUCAUAUUUUUAAAUCUCCUGAAUGUUUGUUUGCACAUUCUGCAAGAGUGGAUCCCAGGACUCCUGGGGGCCAGAAGCUUGCAUGCAGAAUAGUGAAAAAAACAGAUCCACUGAUUUUUCUGGGUGAAAACCUUUGUAUAUUUAAGUGAAAUUACUAGAUAUCUUCCAUCUAGUAGAAAAUAUUAUCCACACCUCGGUAGCCAAUGUGAGAACCUGAAUCCCGUCUAACAGUCCUAGGUACCAUAUCUGUUUUCAUAACUUUUAUCCUACAACAUUCUCCUCCUCCAGUUUGAAAUAAUUAUGAAUUGUCUGGUUUUAUAUAUCCCAUACAGGAUUUUUUAAUUGUCUGUCUGUAGCUUUCAGGCAUCCCUGUAUACACAAUUGCAUUCUCUUUCCUCCUUGCUCUCUUUGCCAAAUGCUCAGUGGGUGUAAUUUGAUAUAAUUCCAUCGAUGUCAGUGUAACUUUGCUGAUUUACACUGGCUGAGGCUUUUCCUCAGCGUGGCGGGUUUGUUUUAAUGUCCCAUUUCUGCAGUUAUUAUUGGAUUAUAGCUUUCACUAAACUUUUCAGUGUCGUAAUUUGGAAACACUGAAAACCACCACUUUAACAUUUAAAGAACACUAAUCAGCACUUCUGGCUUCUUCUAUUUUUCCAGUUUAAGCAGCGGCCCAUAAAUAUCCCAUUAACAAAAAUCUGUUGCGAGUGUUUUCAUUGUUUUCUCUUUGCUUUGCAGUGAGUUAAGUGUUUCUGAAUUUCCUGGGCGGAUGCAUCAGACUGUGACAUGCUGAAUCUGGUUUUAUCAGUUUUAUUCUGUUUAAGCUAUUUUAAAUGCAGCUUGAGGUAUGUAGCUAUAUCAUAAUUGUUAUAAUUAUUAUUAUUAUUAUUACUAUUGUGAUUACUGUCACUCUUUUUAUUGCAUUUGGGAACUACUGAUUGUCAGUUCUGUACUGAGAAUAACUUAGCAAAACUCCAACCAGUUUAGCCAGGAGGAGCCUCAGUUUUGCUUUCAUUUUGGUUUGUAGGGCUGGUGGUGACAGGAAUACCAUGGAAUUCAAGCUGUUGCGAUGUUUGGAGUGCAAGCGCUGCUUGUCCCGCUAUGGGACGGGGAUUUCAGUAAGAGGACACAUUUCUUUGGUAGUUGAACAAAACACUGAUAGACUUUCACAACACCUACAUGUUCCUUCUUGUUCCAGAAACUCCUAUGACCCAGAAAUAUUUGUUGCAAUGUGAAAUGUUCUAUGAGAUAAUGAUAGCUUUGCAGAAAUCUGGAAAUACAUAGUGGGGAAGGAGCUUCCCUUUUCAUGAGCUUACAUUUAUAGAUGUGUUCAGCAUUCCUUAAUACAGAAUAUAACAAACAUUAUGAAUCCAAGGAUACUGAUCUUGGAUCUUACACAGUUGUUUAGUGGCACCUUGGUUUAACAAAUGGGAGAAAAAUGUUUGAGGUGUAGAAAGCAUUAAUUAAAGGAGCUAACUUUGGGUAUGUCCUGCUGAAGAUUUAAAGGAUACUCUGGGGAGCACUGUCCCUGGGGUUAGCACCACCUCAUGCGGUCGUCCAAAGCAAAGGUACCACACAGCUGUGCAGACGCCCUGCUCAGGCAGCUCAGGACACAAGGCAGCACUGAACUAGAAACUCUGUGGCCAGGUUUGCACAGAGCUGUACCUGCAAGUAAAGCAGUGCUGGGAGGAUGCGGAGGUUAGCUUGUGCAUGUCAGUGUGGCUGAACAGCUUUUGGAUCAGAGCAGGCUUGCACUCCUCCAGCGUGAGCUGCUGUUCCUGCAGUUUACAGUCAGAACCAGUGCUUUUAGAGACAUUCCCAGAUGCGGACUAACAGAAGGCCUACAGGAGCAGAAAGAGUUUUAGAAAACACUACAGUUCUAAAAGGAGUGGGUAUUUACAUUUAGUUGAGGAAAAAAGAUCAACUGAUAUUAAAAUUCCAUGCUUGAGUGUCAUAAAUGAGACUUUUUUCAAGCUCUUCUUCCAUAUCUUGCCAAGGGUAUUGGCAAACCUCUCACUCUCUCAGCUCUAUAGGCCUGACAACUGCUCACUUUUCUGGGCUAUUGGAAAGGCUAACUCAUUAUUGCUUCACAAACCUAAGCUAUAAAACACUGUGUAAGCAUGUGCUAUUAACUACACUUAUUUGUUAUGCAAGGCAGGGCUGGGAAUAGUUCCAGAACCAAAUCAAUUGCACUCUGCAGUUUUGAUUUUGUGAUAUCCAGCUAUUGGUUUCAGAGAUACCUCGGGGCUUUCUAAAUGGCCUUACUCAAAUAUUUACAUCAACUCCAUUAAUCUUUCUGUCUGGCUUUAUAAUUAAUUGAAAAAUUAUUUCCCUAUGUACCAAUCUAUUCUUGUCCCCAACAGUUUAGGUACUUGGCUGAAGACAAUUAUAAUCAAAAUCACUUAUCAGCAGAAGUUAUUUCCAUCAUCUUCUCUGUAUCGCAGGCUGAGGUUAGAGCACUCGGCAAUUUUAAAAGUGUUAUCUCAGCUGUGGGCUCCUGAGCGUGUGAGCAGUGAACCAAAAUAUGCUCAAGAUCCCUGCAGUUUUUCAUGUGCUAAUUCUUUUUGGAUGUAACUCUGGGAUGAGAGAGCAAAAUAUGGGUGGUAAUCAUCAGCCAGGCCACGGUUUCCCAACUUGUGGACAGGUGUGUUACUGUGGCCCUCCUCAAAGCAGAGAUGACACUGUGAGGUUAAAAUGCCAAAUUUUAACAAGAGACACAGAAACAGAAAGAAAGGGGAAAGACAAGACAUCUGGUGCUUUUCUUAAAGAUUCUGAGGUUGAAGUCGUCAUCAGCUGUUUGCUCAGUUUUGAUAAUUUACGAUGCGAUCAAGGGACUUGUGUGGUCCAACACUAUGAGUGAACUCUAACUUGAGGUAAAACAGUACCUUUCUUUUUGUUUUCCAUACAGACAGGAAAAGGAGCCCCCUUUUCCCUCAUUAUGAGAUGACUAAUUUAGCUGCAUAAUUUACAAUAAUGCAGUAGCUGUCUUAUCUAGCUCACCUAAGCUCAAUGCUGGGCACAAGAUGAGAAUCUGAACUGGAACAGAAUUCCCUUUGCCAUCGAUGGCACACCGGGCCCUGUUUAUGACUGUGCUACGGAAACAAGUCUUACUUAUUACUGUCUCAGUUGUAUGAGAAUGAUUUAGAAUUCAUAUUUGAUGCAGUUUUCCAUAUAUAUUACUGUGCUCAUGUUUAAUACAUUAGAUGUUCAAAUAAAUACAUAUUUAACUCUGCCUGACUUGUCCUUCUGACCCAGCUCCUGAGAUUGGAUUGACUCUCAGCAACAGAAUUGUUUGUAUUGAAAAAAUAACUUAGCCUUUCCUGGUCAUCUUUAAUUGCUUUAGGAACUUACUGUUGGCUAGUUCAAUCACUGACUACAUAAAGUUCCUAAUUACGUAAUCAAGAAGGACAGCAUUCAAAAUGAAAGGUAAGAGUGCAAG